rnacentral:rRNA from 1 species
UACGGGGGGGGCAAGCGUUGUUCGGAAUUACUGGGCGUAAAGGGCUCGUAGGUGGCCAACUAAGUCAGACGUGAAAUCCCUCGGCUUAACCGGGGAACUGCGUCUGAUACUGGAUGGCUUGAAUCCGGGAGAGGGAUGCGGAAUUCCAGGUGUAGCGGUGAAAUGCGUAGAUAUCGUGAGGAAGACCAGUGGCGAAGGCGGGUCUCUGGACAGUUCCUGACACUGAGGCACGAAGGCCAGGGGAGCAAACGGG